rnacentral:lncRNA from 1 species
CACGGCUGUUCACUGGUAAUGAUCGAAACAUGUACUGUCAGGAAUAGGGGGUUCAUGAGAUGUGGUUGCUGGUAGAUAGCAACUAUCAUAUAAACAUAAACCUGUGUGGUCUGGAGGUGGACACAUUGAGCACUGAAAGUUUUAUAUGUAAAACUUUAUAUUUAGCAAUGUAUUUUAAAAUAUAACACAUCAUUCUGUGUCAAUUACUACAAAAAUAGCCUUUUGAAAUCAGAUGACUUUUCUCAUACAUGCCAUACACUCCACCCUUACUCUUGGUACCCCAUUUGUAAAAAUCCUGGAAAAACCCUUGUACAUGUGCUAGCUUUUUGGCAUACAUAUUAAGUGUCCACGAGGACAUAAAAACUAUUUAAAAGUUUUCUAAUUCUUCAAACUUCCCUAAAGUUUUUUUUUUUCUACCAGCAUGUUUACCGUUUUCAUGUCACUUUUUUCAUAAUGCCCCGGGUUUCAUUAACUGGGAAAGGAAAAUAAAAAGGAAAAAGACGUAAAAAAAAGAAAAAAAAAAAAGCAGUUUUCUUAUUUUGCUCACCGUGACCGAAAGAGAAACAGCUAACCACACUCCCGGCAUCCAGUCGUUUCGCUACCGUGGGAUUUAAAGUAUUUUUCAUCGCUUUCGUCGGUACCCACCCUUGACCCUGACACCUGAAAGCGGUGGGAUGCACCCCGACACAUCCCACUGGUUUUUUGGAGACGACGGCCACGUGACCGAGGUAGCGGCAGCAUCCGCGCGCACACCGCCGCUGUUCGUUUGAUAGCAUCCACAGCGCCGGACGGAGAAGAGAGCGGGACAGAGAGAGAGAGAAAAAGAGAGGGAGAUAGGAAGAAACAGUCGUCGAGGGAAGACGAACAAAAUCUCCGUCUUGCUGACUCCUUCACCAGACACGGCGGGCACACCAUGGACGGCUAUGGCCGGACCGAAGAUGAGCUGUUCUCCUCCUGCCUCGUGAACCUCACCUGGGAGACGUGCUACGAGCAGACUCGACGAUACAGGGAAGCCACCACCUGCACACAGGGAAGCCAAGAGACACUGAGGUGGUGCCAAGGGCAACAGUUGAGAAGAAGACACUCCUGAAACUCAUUCAGGAGCCAUGGUUUUACUACCAAAGUAGAUCAACGUUCUAGCAAUGACUGGCAGUCAUCCCACGCCUUAAGGAGGAGCCCCAUGAUUGCACUUUUCCCAAAGGUGGGGAGCGAGCCACAUGUGAGUUGGGCAGAGACUCAAGAGUCCUGCCCAUAGACGACAUAGGGAGAGAGAGAGAGACAGUCCACUGGGGCACCCGGUUUUUUAAAGCUUGGGUUAAAUUUUAUAUGUCCAUUUGGGUCCCAGUGCGGAAAAUUUCAUCAUCACAUUGUUAGCUUGAGG